AUUGAACGCUGGCGGCGUGCCUAACACAUGCAAGUCGAGCGGUAACAGGUGUAGCAAUACAUGCUGACGAGCGGCGGACGGGUGAGUAACGCUUGGGAAUCUGCCUAUUAGUGGGGGACAACCCGGGGAAACUCGGGCUAAUACCGCAUACGCUCUACGGAGGAAAGCCGGGGACCGCAAGGCCUGGCGCUAAUAGAUGAGCCCAAGUCGGAUUAGCUAGUUGGUAGGGUAAUGGCCUACCAAGGCGACGAUCCGUAACUGGUCUGAGAGGACGACCAGUCACACCGGAACUGAGACACGGUCCGGACUCCUACGGGAGGCAGCAGUGGGGAAUAUUGGACAAUGGGCGAAAGCCUGAUCCAGCGACGCCGCGUGGGUGAUGAAGUAUCUUGGUACGUAAAACCCUUUCGGCAGGGACGAACCUAAUGACGGUACCUGCGGAGAAGCCCCGGCUAACUCCGUGCCAGCCGCCGCCGUAAU
rnacentral:rRNA from 1 species